AGUGAACGCUGGCGGUAGGCCUAACACAUGCAAGUCGAACGGCAGCACAGUAAGAGCUUGCUCUUACGGGUGGCGAGUGGCGGACGGGUGAGGAAUACAUCGGAAUCUACUUUUUCGUGGGGGAUAACGUAGGGAAACUUACGCUAAUACCGCAUACGACCUACGGGUGAAAGCAGGGGAUCUUCGGACCUUGCGCGAUUGAAUGAGCCGAUGUCGGAUUAGCUAGUUGGCGGGGUAAAGGCCCACCAAGGCGACGAUCCGUAGCUGGUCUGAGAGGAUGAUCAGCCACACUGGAACUGAGACACGGUCCAGACUCCUACGGGAGGCAGCAGUGGGGAAUAUUGGACAAUGGGCGCAAGCCUGAUCCAGCCAUACCGCGUGGGUGAAGAAGGCCUUCGGGUUGUAAAGCCCUUUUGUUGGGAAAGAAAGGAAGCAGGUUAAUACCCCGCUGUUCUGACGGUACCCAAAGAAUAAGCACCGGCUAACUUCGUG
rnacentral:rRNA from 1 species